AUUGAACGCUGGCGGCAGGCCUAACACAUGCAAGUCGAACGGUAACAGGAAGAAGCUUGCUUCUUUGCUGACGAGUGGCGGACGGGUGAGUAAUGUCUGGGAAACUGCCUGAUGGAGGGGGAUAACUACUGGAAACGGUAGCUAAUACCGCAUAAUGUCGCAAGACCAAAGAGGGGGACCUUCGGGCCUCUUGCCAUCGGAUGUGCCCAGAUGGGAUUAGCUAGUAGGUGGGGUAACGGCUCACCUAGGCGACGAUCCCUAGCUGGUCUGAGAGGAUGACCAGCCACACUGGAACUGAGACACGGUCCAGACUCCUACGGGAGGCAGCAGUGGGGAAUAUUGCACAAUGGGCGCAAGCCUGAUGCAGCCAUGCCGCGUGUAUGAAGAAGGCCUUCGGGUUGUAAAGUACUUUCAGCGGGGAGGAAGGGAGUAAAGUUAAUACCUUUGCUCAUUGACGUUACCCGCAGAAGAAGCACCGGCUAACUCCGUGCCAGCAGCCGCGGUAAUACGGAGGGUGCAAGCGUUAAUCGGAAUUACUGGGCGUAAAGCGCACGCAGGCGGUUUGUUAAGUCAGAUGUGAAAUCCCCCGGGCUCAACCUGGGAACUGCAUCUGAUACUGGCAAGCUUGAGUCUCGUAGAGGGGGGUAGAAUUCCAGGUGUAGCGGUGAAAUGCGUAGAGAUCUGGAGGAAUACCGGUGGCGAAGGCGGCCCCCUGGACGAAGACUGACGCUCAGGUGCGAAAGCGUGGGGAGCAAACAAGAUUAGAUACCCUGGUAGUCCACGCCGUAAACGAUGUCGACUUGGAGGUUGUGCCCUCGAGGCGUGGCUUCCGGAGCUAACGCGUUAAGUCGACCGCCUGGGGAGUACGGCCGCAAGGUUAAAACUCAAAUGAAUUGACGGGGGCCCGCACAAGCGGUGGAGCAUGUGGUUUAAUUCGAUGCAACGCGAAGAACCUUACCUGGUCUUGUCAUCCACAGAACUUUCCAGAGAUGGAUUGGUGCCUUCGGGAACUGUGAGACAGGUGCUGCAUGGCUGUCGUCAGCUCGUGUUGUGAAAUGUUGGGUUAAGUCCCGCAACGAGCGCAACCCUUAUCCUUUGUUGCCAGCGGUCCGGCCGGGAACUCAAAGGAGACUGCCAGUGAUAAACUGGAGGAAGGUGGGGAGGACGUCAAGUCAUCAUGGCCCUUACGACCAGGGCUACACACGUGCUACAAUGGCGCAUACAAAGAGAAGCGACCUCGCGAGAGCAAGCGGACCUCAUAAAGUGCGUCGUAGUCCGGAUUGGAGUCUGCAACUCGACUCCACGAAGUCGGAAUCGCUAGUAAUCGUGGAUCAGAAUGCCACGGUGAAUAAAAUCCCGGGCCUUGCAC
rnacentral:rRNA from 1 species